UAUGGGUGACAGGAGACGACUGUACAACCUCCAGUCGUCCAGGGGAGACGGUCACCUUGUUCAGUCCGUCAGUGACGACUAUGACGACGAAGACCUCCUCCUGUCUGGCUCCCGACGACAGUCCCCUUCUUUCAACUACAUCAAACUCUGCGUCAUAGUCUUUUCUAUUGUCGCUAUUUUCUCGUCUGGCUUUUUCUCUCACAUUUUGAUAGUCAGCUUCGGUAAACCAGCCUCAGAACACAAGAUAGACAAUAUAGCCAGCGUUAUAGACCCCGCCAAGAUAAGGGAGUAUCACAUUGAACUUACAAAGCAUACUCAUCUCGCUGGCACGCCCAGAAACUACGAACUUGCCCAGUACAUCGCCAAAAAAUUCCACGACUUUGCCUUUGACAGUGUCGAGUUAAAAAACUAUUCAAUCCGGUUACCAUAUCCAGACAAAAACAAGCCGAAUGUAGUAAAACUGUUUGAUUCGUCAGGUGUUGUGAGGCACACUUGUAGAAGGAUAGAGAAGCCAUUGACCGAGUUUGAGAAGUAUAAUCCCACCACACCCCUGUUUAACGCUCACUCUAAGCCAGGAACUGUGAAGGGGCCUGUUGUUUACGCUAACUAUGCUUCUAAGUCUGAUUUUAAGGUGCUGCAAGAUCAAAACAUCACUAUAGAGGGCAAGGUAGUUCUAGCACGAUACGGAGGAAUAUUCCGUGGGAACAAAGUGCAGAAUGCAGCUGAAGCUGGAGCCCUGGCAAUUGUCCUGUUCAAGGAUCUAGCUGACCCUGGAAACAAGGAACGGUUCCCUCUGUCUGAGUUCGCCCCUAGUUCCUCCGGGGAGCGGGGCACUGUCGGCCUCUCAGACGGAGACACAGACACACUCGGCUGGCCCUCAGUGGAGAACAGUUUCAUUAAAGCAGACGGAGAGUUGUAUUCAGCUGCUAUCAUAUCACAGCCUAUAACUGGAGACGAUGCUAUGGUGCUGCUCCGAGCCUUGUCAGUGAACACAGGUUUAAAGCUACCAGAGGAGUGGCAGACGGGGUUACUAGGGAACACGUCAUCUGGUAUCGGAACUGGGGCUGAAGAUGGACCACAACUUGAGGUAACGGUAAAUGUGGAUAUUAGAAGAGUUAAUAUAACGAACGUUAUUGGGACAAUCACUGGAUCUUUAGAACCUGAUAGAUGGGUAAUCUUAGGUAACCAUAGAGACGCAUGGACGUACGGAGCAAUAGAUCCGAGUAGUGGUACAGCAGCUGUCAUAGAGGCUGGCAGGGCCCUCUCACACUUUCUCAAUAAGGGCUGGAGACCUAGAAGAACGAUAAAGCUAGCCUCGUGGGACGCAGAAGAGUGGGGUCUGAUCGGCUCCCUGGAAUGGGUAGAGGAGAACCGGGCGCUACUGGAGCACCGGGGCGUGGUCUACAUUAACACGGACAUUGCGGAGGGGGGAGAGUGUUUGAGGGUGGAUGCUACUGGCUCGCCUCUCUACCAGAACCUCACUGGCACAGUACUGGGUGCUGUGAACAACGAGGGUUUCCAGAGACUGGAUCUGUCCGGUAGUGGGUCCGACAUGUACGGGUUCUAUUGUUACGCGGGGGUCAGUGUGAUCAACGUUAACUGCCAGUCGUACGCUGAUGUUUAUCAUACUAUCUACGAUGAGCAGCAGUUGUUUGAGGUCGUGGACAAGGAUUACAAGAAUUUAGCUAAAGUCGCCUCAAGUUUAGCGCAGUUAGUUGUCGGGGUAAGUGAGCCGGCCCUAGUACCCGGCAGAAUUGUGGAAUACGGAAACAGAAUACAAGAAUGGUGGGAUAUGUUGAAACCUAAGAUCUUACAGACCUUCACUCGUCUGGACAUUGACGAGGAGCUGAUUCACAUAUUGGAUAAUACCUUGUUUGAGUUGGGGAGAGCCGCUAACACUUUCAAGUCGGAGGUAACAGACAAAUUGUCAUCCGACAGUUCAGCGCUUGAAGUGAGAAGAGCGAAUGAUAAGAUACUCCAGUUUGACAGAGCAUUCCUUGUGGAUCAGAAGAUACCUGGUACCAUGUUCUAUUCUAGGAAUGUUCUAGUGUCCCCCUCUUCUACUAACCUUUACAUGGGUUCAGGGUUUCCGGGGCUGCUUCACGCCGUGUCUCCAACAGCCACUAAGCAAGAGAUACUCACCCAGCUUGAGUAUGUCAGAUGGGCGCUGCACGCAGCCACUGCUGUUCUAUCCUCUUAACUCCGCAAUCAUUCCAAGUUCUUACCGCCUUAUUCAGUCAUUCUGACGCUUUUUAUGGGAUAUUUUGAUGGAGGGAAUUAAACUUGAACAGAUUGGGGGGGGGGGGGGGGCAACCAUAUUAAAGUAUAUUAAAGUAUAUUAAAGUAUAUCCCCGGGUCAAAAUCGGGAAAAAUCCUACAUUUUAAUAUACUUUAAUAUGGUUGGCCCCCCCCCCCCCCCCCCCCCCCCCCCCCCAGAUUCCUGAAUUCCAUCUGAUUAUUAUCUUUUAACCAGAAAAACCUUUAUUUGUGCUGGAUCACAAUCAGGGGAUAUUUAUGUUUAUGGUGAGAAUUAAAAAGUAGAAAGGUCCUUAUUUGAAUUAAUUUAUGAAUUUGUUUUUAUCUAGCUAUUACAUUUAAUUGUACAUAAUGUCAAGUAGUUUAAUUGAUUCGAAUUUUACUGCUGCCAAUUUUAAAGUGCAAAUCUUUUAACUUCAUUGUAUGCCGAGUACUGAAGUAAGUUUCAAUCAAUUGUAGCUUUGUGUUUAUUGGCUAUUGAUUUUUUAGGAGUGUUUUUUCGUCGUUUAAGUUAAGUUUUUAUGUUGAUUACUAGUAAAUAACGUUGGUUAACAAUUAUAAAUUAAUCUUUCCGUGCUUGCGUGUAGACGGUGCAGAAUUCAGGUCAAUUUUGUUUUUUCUCCGUGUUUGGUUAAAUCGCUGCAAAUCUUUAUCAAUUAAUCAACUUUUAAUAAAUUCUUUUGGUAUUUCUGUAAGAUAUUAUAAAGCAUAUAGUAAAAGAUGACUGAGUAUAAAAUACAUUAUUAUUGCCAGCGAAAAAUUAUGAUUUUCGGUUAGUGAUAUCAGGUUAUUCUGCUUUUGCAUUGAAUCUGUUUGUUUUUGAGCAAUUAUUUUAUGUGUUAAUAAUAUGCAAAACUUUGAAAGUAUGUUGUAUAUCUGAU